AAGAAAUUAAAUAGAAAACACAAAAACAAUACAAAAAAUUAGGAAUGUCAUGUGUUAGAUUUCACAAAAUUGAUAAAAUCCAACAAAACUGAUCAAGAAUAGAAAAAUAAAUACUUUAUUAGCCAUGAAGUAUGAGACCUCACACAAGUUUCUAGAAACAUUAAAAGGUCAGAUGAUAUAGUGAAAACUAUACAAUAAAUUUAACAGUAGGGACACAAUUACCAAAGUUUUUAAAAAUUAUACUUAAAUCUGAGAAUUUAAAUUCAGAUUUAUACUUAAACCUGAAAUAUACUUUUGUGACUUAAAUGUUUUUUACCAUGUGUCUAAGACCAGAUUUAUAAUCAUUGCACAUUAGAUGUGUAAAGCUCACAGAAAUUUUAUUUAUGUUAUUUUUAUUUUUGAUUAUACUGAUAAAUACAUUUAUGGAAAUAAUCAUAAACCUUGAAUUCAGGAAAGCAGAUAGGUGGCAUUAGUCAGUGGAUAUGUAUCAUAAUAUAUUUGUUCAACCCAAAGUUAUAAUAAAUUUGCCAGCAUGAUAAUUAAAUAUAGGAUAUUUGGAGAAAUCAUUUCAGUAAUAUUGGAGCUAGUUAAUAACUGUAUGAAGACUUUAAAUAUAAAUAUAUCUUACAAAUAGCACUCACUGCUUUAUGUAUCACCUAGACAACUAUUUCAGAAUGCAGCCACACACAUAUGAAAGUCAGUCCCAUUAAAGGAUUCUUAACAUAUACAUACAUAGGAAUUCAGAAUUGUAGUAUUAUGAAUUUAAUUUCAAAAGCUAAAGAAAAUCACUAAUAUAGGAUGACAAUGAUGAGAAUAAACUACAGCUUCAAUUUAAUAAUUUUUUUAAAGUGCACCAAGAGCUACACUUAAAAUGUUUGACUUUGUUUGAUUUCCUUUUCUUAUACUACUUCUAUCUGAAAAUUGUGUAUUUGUAUUCACAGAUACCCACAAAUGCACAUCUAUCCACAUGAUUUUGUACACAUACGCAUUUCUUCCUCCCUUCAUUAUUGGUAUUGCUGGACCCUUCUGUACACAUUGGAAUCCUGAGAUACUGCAAAAGCAUUCAACAACCCAUGUGCUGUCAGAAAAUGCAGGAACUCUUGCUGUAAUGCUGGAGGUGGUCGGGCACAACUCACAGCCCUGCUUGGGACACAGCAGCUGGGGGUCCAUGGAGAUGUCUACCUGAGGCCAAUUGGAGCGAUGGAUGCUGCUUCAGGUAAGUUGAAGUUCCUUCUUGUGAGGAAUGUAGGCUCAGUUUACUGGUCUGGUUCUUAGCGCAGUGGUGCAAGCUUCUUAGUCUCAUGAGGGCUGAGAAGCCAGCCUGUGAGCGCUCAGGCUCUCUAACUUCCUGGGCUCCUAAACAAUGCCUGGGCCCACCCACCUAGCUUCCUAGACAGCGUAUCUAAUCACAAGCCUAUAAUGCUCUCCAAACUGUUUUCUUGUGUUUUCUAAAUAUACUAUGCUUCUGGAGUGGGAAUGAGAAGAAUAAAAAACAAGUGACACAAAUAUGCUGAAACAGGUUGGACAGCUACAUCCAGCUAUGAGAGAAGAACACCAAGUAUUUCAGCCACCUUGGCUCUAGUGGAGC
ensembl:lincRNA